rnacentral:rRNA from 1 species
GACGAACGCUGGCGGCGUGCUUAACACAUGCAAGUCGAACGGAAAGGCCCUGCUUUUGUGGGGUGCUCGAGUGGCGAACGGGUGAGUAACACGUGAGUAACCUGCCCUUGACUUUGGGAUAACUUCAGGAAACUGGGGCUAAUACCGGAUAGGAGCUCCUGCUGCAUGGUGGGGGUUGGAAAGUUUCGGCGGUUGGGGAUGGACUCGCGGCUUAUCAGCUUGUUGGUGGGGUAGUGGCUUACCAAGGCUUUGACGGGUAGCCGGCCUGAGAGGGUGACCGGCCACAUUGGGACUGAGAUACGGCCCAGACUCCUACGGGAGGCAGCAGUGGGGAAUAUUGCAAAAUGGGCGGAAGCCUGAUGCAGCAACGCCGCGUGCGGGAUGACGGCCUUCGGGUUGUAACCCGCUUUCGCCUGUGACGAAGCGUGAGUGACGGUAAUGGGUAAAGAAGCACCGGCUAACUACGUG